CUCUCAAGUGAUGCAGCGGUCAAAGGCACAGCACAUCAGUACUAGAGGCGUCACUACAGACUCCCUGGUUCAAAUCCAGGCUGCGUUUCCAUCAAAAAACCAGAAACAUUAUUUGUCAAUAUCAUAACUGGAGCUGGACAUCUUUGGAGCUGAAGAAUGAGGACAGCUUUUGUAUGCUAACGUACACUCCUUAACAGUUGUACUGGAUGAAAACACAGCAAGAAAACACAUAUGCCAAUAUGUAAUAUUAAUCUAUUUUAUUGCAGUACUGGUAGUUGGUUCAACAACUUGUUUUACUAGAGGACAAAAAAACUGAAUAUGCAUAACCCAUAUUUAAUAUCCAUGCAGUGACUGAACAACAACUGCAUUUCCACCCCCAUCUCUAAGGCAUAGUAUCAUGGCUGCAACAACACUGAAUGGCGCAGAGUGGGAGGUUACGUGGUUGACUGCCGGCACACGCUACUUGUAUCAAUAAAUCACUAUCAGAAAA